GAUAUACAAAUUUAUGCUAGCACAAAGACAGUUUAAUUUCCAGUUUUAAACUUUUGACUUGUGUAAAACCUUAUCCCCUUCCUAAAAUAUUAUUCAAAAUCAUUAUCUCUGUUUACUUUUUUAAAAAUAGAAAAUAAGCCUAAGAAAGAAUUAAUUAAAGUUCUGAUUCAGAGGGGAUAUGAUUCGGAUCCUGUGAAGGCCUGGAAAGAAGCCCAGCAAAAGGUUCCAGAUGAAGAAGAAAAUGAAGAGAGUGACAACGAAAAGGAAACUGAAAAGAGUGACUCCGUAACAGAUUCUGGACCAACCUUCAACUAUCUUCUUGAUAUGCCCCUUUGGUAUUUAACCAAGGAAAAGAAAGAUGAACUCUGCAGGCUAAGAAAUGAAAAAGAACAAGAGCUGGACACAUUAAAAAGAAAGAGUCCAUCAGAUUUGUGGAAAGAAGACUUGGCUACAUUUAUUGAAGAAUUGGAGGCUGUUGAAGCCAAGGAAAAACAAGAUGAACAAGUCGGACUUCCUGGGAAAGGGGGGAAGGCCAAGGGGAAAAAAACACAAAU
rnacentral:sRNA from 1 species